rnacentral:lncRNA from 1 species
GAAAGUAUUGGCACUGAUUAGGAAAGCCUUUUUUAUUAUAAUACAUCCAUCACUGUAUGGGAAAGCAGGAAAGGAUCUGCCAAUGAAACGAAAUAGUUUUCUGGAAAUAAAUAACAUCUACAGACAAUUGAAACUAUUGACUAUAGAAUGACGCAGUUGUUUCAAGAUUCCAUAGGUAAUCUGGAAUGGAGGCAUGGAGGUGGAAGUUCUGGACUCUUCUUCUCAAUGUCUAGCUAACCUGGUCAGAGGCUUGCCAGAAGGGGCCCCGAUAAAAGGAAGCUACACCCAAGAUAUGAGACAAGAAUAUGGGACAGUUAGCUUUGAUCUCUGAAUGUGUUGUGUAUUGGUUUCAGUGCCCAUCUCAUAGAAAUAAAAUACUGCU